UAAUAUCGGAACGUGCCCAGUCGUGGGGGAUAACGUAGCGAAAGCUACGCUAAUACCGCAUACGAUCUACGGAUGAAAGCGGGGGAUCGCAAGACCUCGCGCGAUUGGAGCGGCCGAUAUCAGAUUAGCUAGUUGGUGGGGUAAAAGCCCACCAGGGCGACGAUCUGUAGCUGGUCUGAGAGGACGACCAGCCACACUGGAACUGAGACACGGUCCAG
rnacentral:rRNA from 1 species